CUUUCAACAAACGGAUCUCUUGGCUCUGGCAUCGAUGAAGAACGCAGCGAAAUGCGAUACGUAAUGUGAAAUUGCAGAAAUUCAGCGAACCAUCGAAAUCUUUGAAACGCACAUUGCGCCCCGCCAGCAUUCUGGCGGGCAUGCCUGUCCGAAGCGUCAUUUCCC
rnacentral:rRNA from 1 species